CGGUGAUGCUGGACCAAGGGGAUUGGAAGGAACAGACGGAACUCCCGGUCCUCCAGGUCAUCCUGGCUUACAAGGUCCGCCUGGACAAAGAGGUCCCAAAGGAGAACGAGGAUUUUCCGGCUUUAAAGGAGAACAAGGACCUCAGGGUAUUGCCGGUCCAGAGAUGACUGAUGCUACUCUUCAACGUUAUUUUAAGCCCGUUGCAAGUUUGCAAAAAGAGGUUGAAAACUUGAGAAACAAAUUUGAAACAAUCAUGCGCUCGUUUAAUGCAUGCUGUAUUGAAGAAAAACCUGCCGCUCAUCUGUACGGGAGUGGCGGGUACGUUGCUGUUUCAAGUGGU